rnacentral:rRNA from 1 species
UACAGAGGUCUCAAGCGUUGUUCGGAUUCAUUGGGCGUAAAGGGUGCGUAGGCGGCGCGGUAAGUCGGGUGUGAAAUCUUGGAGCUUAACUCCGAAACUGCAUUCGAUACUGCCGUGCUUGAGGACUGGAGAGGAGACUGGAAUUUACGGUGUAGCGGUGAAAUGCGUAGAUAUCGGGAGGAACACCAAUGGCGAAGGCAGCUUGCUGGGACGGUACUGACGCUGAGACGCGAAAGCGUGGGGAGCAAACAGG